ACACGCAUGACACACUGCAUAUCAAUAAGCGGAGGAAAAGAAACUAACAAGGAUUCCCCUAGUAACGGCGAGUGAAGCGGGAAGAGCUCAAAUUUGAAAUCUUCAAGGGUUUACCUUUACGAAUUGUAGUUUAAAGAAGUGUUUUCUGUUGGAGUUUUGGUAAAAGUUCUUUGGAAUAGGACAUCAUAGAGGGUGAGAAUCCCGUAUUUGACCAUUAUUUCCAACUGUGUGAUACACUUUCAAAGAGUCGGAUUGUUUGGGAAUGCAGUCCAAAAUGGGUGGUAAAUUUCAUCUAAAGCUAAAUAUUGGCGAGAGACCGAUAGCGAACAAGUACCGUGAGGGAAAGAUGAAAAGAACUUUGAAAAGAGAGUUAAACAGUACGUGAAAUUGUCAAAAGGGAAGCGUUUGACACCAGUGUUGUUUUCUCGAAAAUCAAUUAAAGAAAGGCCUGGAUUUUGUGUUGUAUUGACCUUAACAGCUUUCUUCACUCUUUUCUUGUCUUUUUUAAUGCACUUUUCGUUUAACAAGUCAACAUCAGUUUCUUUUGUUGUAAAAGGGUCAUUGGAAGGUGGCUUUCUUUUCGGAGAAAGUGUUUAUAGCCUUUGAUCUCUGCAACCGGAGAGACUGAGGUCUGCAGCGUAGACUCUUCGGGGUUAAAUACAUUUGUGCUAAGCUAUAGCUUUUUAUAGACAACUUGUUGACUAUAUUUAGUCUUGUGGCUUACUCGCUUAUGCUAUUUUACCUACGCUUAGGAUGUUGAGCGCAUGUCUCUCUCU
rnacentral:rRNA from 1 species